rnacentral:rRNA from 1 species
UGCGGAGGGAACAUUG